AUUGAACGCUGGCGGCAGGCCUAACACAUGCAAGUCGAACGGUAACAGGAAGAAGCUUGCUUCUUUGCUGACGAGUGGCGGGCGGGUGAGUAAUGUCUGGGAAACUGCCUGAUGGAGGGGGAUAACUACUGGAAACGGUAGCUAAUACCGCAUAACGUCGCAAGACCAAAGAGGGGGACCUUCGGGCCUCUUGCCAUCGGCUGUGCCCAGAUGGGAUUAGCUAGUAGGUGGGGUAACGGCUCACCUAGGCGACGAUCCGUAGCUGGUCUGAGAGGAUGACCAGCCACACUGGAACUGAGACACGGUCCAGACUCCUACGGGAGGCAGCAGUGGGGAAUAUUGCACAAUGGGCGCAAGCCUGAUGCAGCCAUGCCGCGUGUAUGAAGAAGGCCUUCGGGUUGUAAAGUACUUUCAGCGGGGAGGAAGGGAGUAAAGUUAAUACCUUUGCUCAUUGACGUUACCCACAGAAGAAGCACCGGCUAACUCCGUG
rnacentral:rRNA from 1 species